GCCGUAGGCAGAAAAAGAAGCGGAAGCAUUACCUUCACCCACUGCUUCACCCAACCGCGCUCCGGCGAUCGUAUACAAAAUAGUACAUCAAAAUGGAGGGGGUGGGGGCCCGUCUGGGCCGGUCGUCAACCCGUUAUGGGCCAGCGACGGUCUUCAGCGGACCGGUGAGGAAGUGGAAGAAGAGAUGGAUCACCGUCGCCACCCCCAACAACACCUCCGCGGCCAAAGCCAACGGCAACGCCGCCCGAUCCCGCCUUCUCCUCUAUAAGUGGGCUCCUGUCUCCUCCACGCCCGCCGACGGCGCUGCCCAACCGGAGGAACACCCGCCGAGGAACUUCCGAUACGUACCGGGGUGCAAACCUACACGAGUUGACCGUGGUGAGGCGUAAACGACAUUUGAAGAGCAUUUGAAGGCAAGCCGUGUCCAAAAGGCACAUGCCAUUUUUGAAGGAGUUUAUGAAGGCCCAAGACAUGGUCAGGCAUGAUCAUGCCAUUUUUGAAGGAGUUUAUGGAGACCUGUGACAUGACCAUGUCUUUUUGGCACGGUCGUGCCAAUCUUUGCUGGUCACUGAAGGUAUCAUGGCAUGACCUAUCUUUUUGAUACGGUCGUGUGAAAAUCUAGGAGAGGCACAGAACUUAUCACAGCAUGGUCGUAUCCUUUUGACACAGUUGUGCUUCGCGUGUUCAAACAUAUAGCUUCAGUUGUGUUUGUUGACACGACCGUGGCGUGAAUGUAAGGGUUUAAACCCCAGAUCACGGAUUGCGUCCCACUUCCACACGACCGUGCUACCUCAUUAUCUUCCCCUUCUUUCUCCUUUCUCCUUUCUCCUUUCUCCUUCACCUCUUUCAAAGACUUUUUCCCACCUCCCUUCUUUCACCUCCAUCUUCUCACUCCCAUCCAAAGAUUCUCAUCUCUGCUCUCUUCUCUUCUCAAGUGAGGGAUUCUCCCCUUGUUUUUUUUCCUUACACCCUAAAAACCCCUUAGGCUUGUUCUUUUAUCUUAAUAAGAUGUUGAAGCAUCCUUAAGAAGGGAGUUGGCUCACACAAAGAUGUGCAUCCAAAGUCAAGGGGAAAGAAAAGUCUAUAACUAAGGAAAAGCAAAGGGCACACUACGAAGAUUUCGGUUCUCGAAGAGCAAAAACAAGAGGAUGCUGAAAAGCUUCAUGAAACAUAUGAACCUAGUAAUGUUGACCUUUCAUCACAGAUAAACCGGAAUGUUUCUUCUGAUUUGAAACCUGGCAUGAAUGAUAUUUUAAUGGGAGAAUCAAUGGCGGCUUCAGACAUGGACCAAAAUUCAGCAGAUGAUAACAACCUAGCUAAUUUGGACUUGAAUUUGGGUUUGAAAGGUAUUGACAAUGAGAGGGAAACAAAAUCCAGAAAUGAAGGUGAUGCUGUGGAGAAAUUAAGCAUAGGUGAGGACAUUAAAAUUAAUGGAACAAAUUCAGAAGCAGCAAACUAGAUGAAGAGAAAAGCUGUCACCCCUGACCUAGAAAUGUGAGCGUGAUCAGUUAUGUUGGCUUUUUGCAUUCAUCAUUUGUUUAGCAAAGCUGCAAACUUAUGCUCUGAUUCUCAGUUUGCUGCUUUGAAUUGUGAUCCAUUUGUUGGUUACUGACAGCCAAACCAUUUCCUUCUUUCUCACUUCUGAUUGAAUUUGUAUCUUGUUAAUGAAACGGCUACGUCAUCAUCAUGUACCGAUGGAACCAUUUAACCAUGAAAAAAAAACUAUAUAACAUUUUGUCUUUA